UCCUGCUGGUCUGGCCGGGGCUCGCCUGGCUGCGGUCCCGGCGGCGCGACCGCGAGGCGCUCGGACUCGCCCUGCUGGUC
rnacentral:tRNA from 1 species